UGGAGUUCCCUGUCUGAGCAAUACACCGAGCGGCGCAGCACUUGUUCAACCAACACGACCGCUCCAUUGAUCAACAGACUUUUAAAAAACAACACCAACAAGCAAAUAAUUACCUCUGAAGAAAUUAACUUUUAAAAAAUAUCAACUAUAUAGUACAUUUCGACAACAAAGAGAAUUCAGCGCCGCGCUCGUAAAGAACUUCUAUUGGAUACAAUAUCACCUGGAUUUUUUUCUUUCCUUUCUUUCCUUCAUCUGUGUUAGUGGUUUUACAGAUCGCACUUCAUCAUCGUGCUGUCAGUCGGAGAAGAACCCCGCUGUAUCUGUACGGAUACACACGCGCUCACGCUGAUGACAGACUGAAUGACUGCUAUGACAGGGAAACUAGCGGACAAGCUCCCUCUUACCAUGAGCAGUUUAAUAAACACAAUUCCCGAGAGCCUGUAUCCCGAAGAGGACAUUCCUACGUCUAUGAACAUUUUCACCAGCACGGAUUCUAUUUCUCACUAUUCGCAGAUGAACACAGAUAAUAUCAUGGAUUUGGGCAUGGGCAGCGAGAAGAGCACAGCAGAACUCCAGUAUGGCUCUGGCUUCCAGUCCAACCGCAGCGGACAAACGGUGACCUACUUGGGGAAGUUUGCCUUUGAUACACCCCCCUCGGGUGGGAUCGGAGGUUCUGGGUGGUGCUCGGACAACAAUAUCAUCAGUCUGGUGAGCGCGGGCAUCUUAGGCGUUUCCCCGUCGCCGGGCACCAUCACCACACAGACCUCUGCAUCUUCGGGCAGCAUGGGCCCCCAGUCCUCAGAGCUGGAACAAGUCUACGGCGCACCCCUGCCCGCGUACUCCACUUGCAGUGACAUGUACCAGGAGCAGGUUUCCUUUCACCACAGCCCGGUGGCCACCACCACCCCCCUACCCUACCCCGGUACUGACUAUCACACCACCACCACCAAAACCUCCAUGGACGGCAGCCUCUUCUCCAUGAUUCCCGAUUACAACCUCUUCCACCACCAGGGGGAGGUUGGCGUGAUGGAGCACAAGCCUUUCCAAACGAUGGACCCCAUCCGCCUCAACCCUCCACCCAUCACUCCCCUGGAGACCAUCCGGGCCUUCAAAGACAAGCAGCAGAUCCAUCCGGGUUUCAUAGGCGGACAGCAGCACGCGACCCAGCACCACCAGCCCCCACAGACUCUAACCCUCAAGCCGAUCCGGCCUCGGAAGUAUCCGAACCGGCCAAGCAAGACACCGGUGCACGAGCGGCCACACGCGUGCCCGGCCGAGAACUGCGACCGGCGCUUCUCCCGCUCGGACGAGCUGACGCGCCACCUGCGCAUCCACACGGGCCACAAGCCCUUCCAGUGCCGCAUCUGUAUGCGCUCCUUCAGCCGCAGCGACCAUCUGACCACCCACAUCCGCACCCACACGGGGGAGAAACCCUUCUCCUGUGAGUUCUGCGGCCGCAAGUUCGCCCGCAGCGACGAGCGCAAGCGGCACGCCAAGGUGCACCUCAAGCAGAAGGACAAGAAGCUGUCAGACAAGGGGAGCGGGGCGUCAACGAGCCACAGUUCUCCCCCCAGCUCCUGUGGCACCGCAGGAGCCAACACUGGGAGCAUCAUGACUGUUACCACCUGUGCUUAGGAGCCAAGCCCACCGUCUCUUUCGAGCAGACUGGAACCUGCUUUUGCAGUGAGACAAAUAUGGGACUCUCUCUUUCUCUCACUCUUUCUCUAUCUCUCUUUCUUCCUCCCGCCGCUUUGUUUCCAGGUGAUUUGUCCUCUCAAUACCCAGGCAAACUCUUUUUGUUGCGCGACGGGGAAAAGGGGGAGAUGAGUCAGUCCGCACAGAGCAGAGCGGAGAAACCCGAGGGUCAGGCUUCCUGUCUCCGAUUGUACGCCAGUGGAAGACCACGGGCGGGGUUGAGGACGGCACGCCCCAGUGGCCUUGCACUGCUUUGUGGGCCGCGUCAGAGCCAUGCGGAGACCAGUCUGAUUUCGGCAGCUUUCAUUUCAUGUCUCCAGAAAACCCACAAAGAAUCUGGAGUGGGGAGGGCGAGGAGCCAGAAAGACCAGUUUUGGCAUAAUAGGCAGAUUGUAAUGAUAUUGCUUAAAAAACAACAAACAAACAAACAAACAGAAUAAUUAACAGAAACAAGUUUAAUUACUGGCUCAUCUGCAAAACUGUAAAGAGGAGGAUGUUUAAAAAUAACAUUUGAACCAACGGGUGGCUUUCUACCUUGAAAAUACCCCUGCAGGGGUGAGGGCUACGGGAGAGAGCUCGGCGAGGCGAGGGCACGAAGGCACCAUCAAACGCAUGCGUCCCUGUGGGUUCCCGCUCUCCUGCGCGAGCCGCGCUUCCUGGCAGGGCGCCAUCUUGUCUCCAAUUAACUGACUCCUGAUGGCUCCGCACAUCUUCUUCUCUUUCUUCAUUUCAAUGGAUAAAUGAAUAACUCCGUCACAUUGUCUUUGGUAGCCUACUCAACAAGUUAACGCUUUUUUUUCCAUCGGUUAUGUAAAAGCAGCGGCGGCUUUAGAAAUUCUCAGCUUGAAGCACCUUCUUUAUUUUAUCUCUCCACUCCAGUGUCAAUGCUUAUUUCUACCGUCGCUUCAUUCUUAAUAAACUGAAAAGACAUGUUCUAUAUGACUCUGUGUAGAAUAUGGCACUUUCUACAGUUGCAAAAUUGAAACUCUUGAGUUACUUUUAACGCAGCAUUAUUUUCAAAGAAUUUCAACACUGUAGAGAAGUUGACUUUUGGAAAAAAAAAAAAAAUAAAGACAAAGUCAUUGUCUUGUU